rnacentral:rRNA from 1 species
AGUAACACGUGGGUAUCUGCCUAUUAGUGGGGGACAGCUUGGAGAAAUCCAAGCUAAUACCGCAUAAUCUCUACGGAGGAAAGCGGGGGAUCUUCGGACCUCGCGCUGAUAGAUGGGCCCGCGUCUGAUUAGCUAGUUGGUAAGGUAAUGGCUUACCAAGGCGACGAUCCUUAGCUGGUUUGAGAGAAUGAUCAGCCACACUGGGACUGAGACACGGCCCAG